rnacentral:rRNA from 1 species
GAUGAACGCUGGCGGCGUGCCUAAUACAUGCAAGUCGAGCGAACGGACGAGAAGCUUGCUUCUUUGAUGUUAGCGGCGGACGGGUGAGUAACACGUGGAUAACCUACCUAUAAGACUGGGAUAACUUCGGGAAACCGGAGCUAAUACCGGAUGAUAUUUUGAAGCGCAGGGUUCAAAAGUGAAAGACGGUCUUGCUGUCACUUAUAGAUGGAUCCGCGCUGCAUUAGCUAGUUGGUAAGGUAACGGCUUACCACGGCAACGAUGCAUAGCCGACCUGAGAGGGUGAUCGGCCACACUGGAACUGAGACACGGUCCAGACUCCUACGGGAGGCAGCAGUAGGGAAUCUUCCGCAAUGGGCGAAAGCCUGACGGAGCAACGCCGCGUGAGUGAUGAAGGUCUUCGGAUCGUAAAACUCUGUUAUUAGGGAAGAACAUAUGUGUAAGUAACUGUGCACAUCUUGACGGUACCUAAUCAGAAAGCCACGGCUAACUACGUG